GGCGGGGCUGUUGGUGCUCAGCACCACGGGCUGCUCCUGAGGGGACGCGGGCCUCUGAGGAGCUCCGCCUUGCUCUGGGGACAUCGCCGGCGAUACCCCGGGGGGCCCCGGCGGCACUUUUUCUGCUAUUUUGUUGGAGCCAGAGAGUCACCUGAUGUGCAGCCCCUUUCAGGCCGUGACUAUCCAGCCUUUGCUGUGUCGCUGGACUUGGCCUGUCCACCCUGCAGCUUCAAAGCCUCAAGUGGGAUGUGGUUACACUUGCCCACUGCUGAUUGCUGAACCUAUGUACCAGAUUCCACGCUUCACUUAGCGCUUCUUGGCUGAAGUUCCUUCAGUGGAAACUAUGCAUCAACGCAUGCAUAACGGCAGGUCAGCUGGCCGGCGUGCAUAAGCGUGGGCCUAACAAAGAGCAGGCUGCUCAGCAGUGUCAAGUCCACAUACUUUACCUAGUUGGGAAGAGCUUUAAUAGGCGAGAGCCUUUCUCAAAGGACGAGGACUUACUUAGCUGAUUUCCACUGACUUUGUGGCCUUACAAGUACUUAAAACUGGAAGCGAACAUGGCACUAGCUUGAUGGCUGAGGAAACAGAACCGGAGCUGCCCUGAAUGUGCCAGGACACCACCUCGGACAUUUUCAUGAUCCAUUAAGUGGAGCAGCAACUGUGAGCAGUGAUGGUUUUCAGACAGCUUUAAGGUGCUGGAAAAAGUAAUUUGAGCUAGUACACGGAUUGAGACUUCUCAGUGGUUUUACAGCAUAGGUGACAAUGCUCUGUGGUCUUCUGAAUGAUUAGAAGGAGCUCUGUGGAUUGUGGCUCCUGUUACAACACUGCUUAUAUUUGUAUGUGGUCUUACUGUGCUUUGGAUUUUUAGUUUUACAGGCUGAUAUUUUGUAUGGAUUUUUUUUAAUGUUGAAUUAUGUGCAUCUGGGGUAUAGAAAAAAAAAGGUAACAGUGGAUUAAGGUACACACAUAUACAGCAAGAAUGUUUCUUCACAGCUUUCAGAAAGUUUUGCCUGGCUCCUUCCUAGCCAGCUCUGUGCUGUUAGAUACAUGUCUGGAUUCAUGUGUGGUGUCAAAGUGUUUAUGUUUCAUUUACAGUUUUAUUCAAAUUUUCUCAGGAGAUGAAAGACAAAGUGGCUGAAAAUAUUUAAAAAUGCAGUCUGAAAGCAAGAGAAAAAAAUUUUAACGUUUGUGUCAUUACUUGGAAAACCUAAAAAGAGAACUGCAAGCAGCAGUUUCGUCUAUGAUACUGUAAAGUGCUUCCUGUUCUUCUUGUUUCUGCAUGUUCUUUCUUUCUUAAAAAAUUGGACAAAUAAGAAAAGAGAUACUCAAUUGCUGGCAUCCUCUGUCCUACAGUACUGAAUUAACCUGGCACUUGUCAGGCCAACAUUUCAAACUACUACACUGCAGCGUCAGUGUGUUCACUGACUGAACUGGAGGUUACUGAAGCAAUGGAUAACAUUCCCAGGCAAUGUUAUGAUGUGGUUUAUGUUCUUGUUUUUUUCAGUGAUAAAAGGCAGAAGCUAGAAGGAAAUAGAGAACAUGUUUCUGUCUCUAAGAGAAAAAAAGAAUGUGUGCUACAAGAUAGUUUACCUAGCUUGAUACCUACUUGCUCUGUAUCAUAAUUAAUCAAUUCUUCAAGUAGCAAUAUAACCAAAUAAAUUAUCUUAGUCAUCUCACUUUGAGUUGUAUAGGCUCUUUGAUAAAAGCAACUGUUUUUAAGACCCAGCUCAGGGAUGUUAAAUAUCAGAUACAAAUGCUUGCAAGUGGUGAAUUCUCAUGUGCUGAAGGGGAGAAAAUGUUCAUUUUUGUCAAGCAAGAUGUUUCUCCAUC